UUAGGGCACGACACCGGAGAGGGAGCCUGAGAAACGGCUACCACAUCCAAGGAUGGCAGCAGGCGCGCAAAUUACCCAAUCCCGACACGGGGAGGUAGUGACAAUAAAUAACAAUACGGGGUUCUUUAGGAUCUCGUAAUUGGAAUGAGUACAAUUUAAAUCUCUUAACGAGGAACAAUUGGAGGGCAAGUCUGGUGCCAGCAGCCGCGGUAAUUCCAGCUCCAAUAGCGUAUAUUAAAGUUGUUGCAGUUAAAAAGCUCGUAGUUGAAUUUCGGGACCAGUAUGUCGGUCGUGCUUCGGUACGUACUGGCAUUAUUGGUUUCUCCCUUCUGAAGAACCUUGAUGUCAUUAAUUUGGUGUCUUGGGGAAUCAGGACUGUUACUUUGAAAAAAUUAGAGUGUUUAAAGCAGGCAUACGCUUGAAUACAUUAGCAUGGAAUAAUGAAAUAGGACGUUUGAUUCUAUUUUGUUGGUUUCUAGGAUCGACGUAAUGAUUAAUAGGGAUAGUUGGGGGCAUUAGUAUUCAAUUGUCAGAGGUGAAAUUCUUGGAUUUAUUGAAGACUAACUACUGCGAAAGCAUUUGCCAAGGAUGUUUUCAUUAAUCAAGAACGAAAGUUAGGGGAUCGAAGACGAUCAGAUACCGUCGUAGUCUUAACCAUAAACUAUGCCGACUAGGGAUCGGAUGAUGUUAAUUUUUUAAUGACUCAUUCGGCGCCUUACGGGAAAC
rnacentral:rRNA from 1 species